GGUAAAAUUAUUUAGUGCUUGAAUGUGACACCAAAGGUUCCAACCAUAGAAAAAAAACAGACAAAAAGCGUUGCGUUUGAUUGGAUGUUUUACCUUUUCGGCUCUAGUGAUCUUAGUUAGGCUUUGAAGUUACUACUUGUAGAUGGCUCCAUAGAUACUCUUAUGGAACGAGCAAAUGAUUACUCUUUGACUUAUUAAGUGAUCAGUUAUUUUCCAUACAAAAAGUGUUGCAUAAUCAACGCUAACUGCUUUACCCCCUGAUAUAUGAUAUAUAAAUAGAUUAAAUCGAUGGUUUGGUUCCAAAUGUGGCUAUCUUCAAAAAAUGUAUUUUUGAGCUAUUUACAUAGCCUUGUUGAAAAUAAGGAUUUCUAAUAGUUCCAAAAGCGGCUAUAUCGAUAAAUUUAAAUUUGGCGCCAAAAUUGGCAAUUUGAAAGGUGUCUAUCUACUCUUCAAAUUAUUUUAUGAGGUCCAAAUAUGUUUUAAAUUUUAAGUGAAAUUUUGGCGCGCUUUGCAGUUAGCUACUUGUUUGGACGUGUCAGCUGAUUUAGAACGCUUCUUUUACGUUUUUUAAUUCGUUUUUUUAAGCGGUCAGUUGUGUUUUGAUAAGCAUUGCGUUCGUGUGUAAACUUUUUUCGUGCAAAAUGAGUCGAGGCAAAAAAAUAUUAAUGAUGCUGCCCAAACAACCAUCUUUAGAAAAUAUUCCUGACGUCGGCGUCGCUGAAAAUUUGGACACCACUGAAAAUCUUAAUCAGGCACCAUUUUGGUCGGCCCACUCUGAUUCAAAUACAUUCUCUGCUGAAGAACCCGAAUCCACCAGCCAAUCAGUUAAUGCAGAACUUGACGAAGAACCUUUUGCUUCAGAUGACUCCAUUAAAGAUGCAGACUAUCUUCCCAGUGACUAAUCAGAUGAUGGUGGCUUAGACAAUCACGUAGUACUUAGAAAUACUAAUCAAAUACCAAAAUAUACGUCAGUUGAACCAACAAAUAAAAAGAAAAGAUGUCCUAAUUUUUGGAAAAAAAAUGUUCGCAGAGACAUAUACA